rnacentral:rRNA from 1 species
GACGAACGCUGGCGGCGUGCUUAACACAUGCAAGUCGAACGGAAAGGCCCUGCUUUUGUGGGGGGCUCGAGUGGCGAACGGGUGAGUAACACGUGAGUAACCUGCCCUUGACUUUGGGAUAACUUCAGGAAACUGGGGCUAAUACCGGAUAGGAGCUCCUGCUGAAUGGUGGGGGUGGGAAAGUUUUGGCGGUUGGGGAUGGACUCGCGGCUUAUCAGCUUGUUGGUGGGGUAGUGGCUUACCAAGGCUUUGACGGGUAGCCGGCCUGAGAGGGUGACCGGCCACAUUGGGACUGAGAUACGGCCCAGACUCCUACGGGAGGCAGCAGUGGGGAAUAUUGCACAAUGGGCGGAAGCCUGAUGCAGCAACGCCGCGUGCGGGAUGACGGCCUUCGGGUUGUAAACCGCUUUCGCCUGUGACGAAGCGUGAGUGACGGUAAUGGGUAAAGAAGCACCGGCUAACUACGUG